rnacentral:rRNA from 1 species
GACGAACGCUGGCGGCGUGCUUAACACAUGCAAGUCGAACGGAAAGGCCCUGCUUUUGUGUGGUGCUCGAGUGGCGAACGGGUGAGUAACACGUGAGUAACCUGCCCUGUACUUUGUGAUAACUUCAGGAAACUGGUGCUAAUACCGGAUAGGAGCUCCUGCUGCAUGGUGGGGGUUGGAAAGUUUCGGCGGUUGGGGAUGGACUCGCGGCUUAUCAGCUUGUUGGUGGGGUAGUGGCUUACCAAGGCUUUGACGGGUAGCCGGCCUGAGAGGGUGACCGGCCACAUUGGGACUGCGAUACGGACCAGACUCCUACGGGAGGCAGCAGUGGGGAAUAUUGCACAAUGGGCGGAAGCCUGAUGCAGAAACGCCGCGUGCGGGAUGACGGCCUUCGGGUUGUAAACCGCUUUCGCCUGUGACGAAGCGUGAGUGACGGUAAUGGGUAAAGAAGCACCGGCUAACUACGUG